GAUGAACGCUGGCGGCGUGCCUAAUACAUGCAAGUCGAGCGAACAGACGAGGAGCUUGCUCCUCUGACGUUAGCGGCGGACGGGUGAGUAACACGUGGAUAACCUACCUAUAAGACUGGGAUAACUUCGGGAAACCGGAGCUAAUACCGGAUAAUAUAUUGAACCGCAUGGUUCAAUAGUGAAAGACGGUUUUGCUGUCACUUAUAGAUGGAUCCGCGCUGCAUUAGCUAGUUGGUAAGGUAACGGCUUACCAAGGCAACGAUGCGUAGCCGACCUGAGAGGGUGAUCGGCCACACUGGAACUGAGACACGGUCCAGACUCCUACGGGAGGCAGCAGUAGGGAAUCUUCCGCAAUGGGCGAAAGCCUGACGGAGCAACGCCGCGUGAGUGAUGAAGGUCUUCGGAUCGUAAAACUCUGUUAUUAGGGGAGAACAAAUGUGUAAGUAACUAUGCACGUCUUGACGGUACCUAAUCAGAAAGCCACGGCUAACUACGUG
rnacentral:rRNA from 1 species